rnacentral:rRNA from 1 species
CAGCCGCCACGGUAAUACGAGGGGAGCUAGCGUUGUUCGGAAUUACUGGGCGUAAAGCGCGCGUAGGCGGCUUUUUAAGUCAGAGGUGAAAGCCCGGGGCUCAACCCCGGAAUUGCCUUUGAAACUGGAAAGCUAGAAUCUUGGAGAGGUCAGUGGAAUUCCGAGUGUAGAGGUGAAAUUCGUAGAUAUUCGGAAGAACACCAGUGGCGAAGGCGACUGACUGGACAAGUAUUGACGCUGAGGUGCGAAAGCGUGGGGAGCAAACAGGAUUAGAUACCCGCGUAGUCCCUGUCUCUUAUAC